GAUCCUUAACCCACUGAGCAAGGCCAGGGAUCAAACCCUCAUCCUCAUGGAUACUAGUUGGGUUCAUUAACCACUGAGCCAUGAUGGGAACUCCUGCUCCAACUUUUUAUCAUCUUCAUUUUAAUUCCCUUUUUGUGUCUGCGGUGCAGCAGCAUGCACCUGUCUGUUAAUGGAGGGGUCUGCUUAUUUUUGCCCAGUGAAGCAUGACCAUGGGACCACUGGUUUCAGGGGUAAGGGAUGGAGGAGAUGCAGGAAAAAAGAAGGGGAGGAGACCCAGCAGAGGGGGAGGAGACCCAGCAGAAGGGGGGAGACCCAGGCAGA